rnacentral:rRNA from 1 species
UACGGGAGGCAGCAGUGGGGAAUAUUGCACAAUGGGCGCAAGCCUGAUGCAGCCAUGCCGCGUGUAUGAAAAAGGCCUUCGGGUUGUAAAGUACUUUCAGUCGUGAGGAAGGUGUUAAGGUUAAUAACCUUAGCAAUUGACGUUAGCGACAGAAGAAGCACCGGCUAACUCCGUGCCAGCAGCCGCGGUAAUACGGAGGGUGCGAGCGUUAAUCGGAAUUACUGGGCGUAAAGGGCACGCAGGCGGUUAAUUAAGUUGGAUGUGAAAUCCCCGGGCUUAACCUGGGAAUGGCAUUCAAGACUGGUUAGCUAGAGUCUGUAGAGGGGGUAGAAUUCCAUGUGUAGCGGUGAAAUGCGUAGAGAUGUGGAGGAAUACCGGUGGCGAAGGCGGCCCCUGGACAAAGACUGACGCUCAUGUGCGAAAGCGUGGGGAGCAAACAGGGAUUAGAUACC